rnacentral:lncRNA from 1 species
GUUAACCACGCGAUGCAACGGACAGGUAUUAUCAAAAUAUUAGAGUUUUAAUCCAAUUCAAUCCUCCUUAAACAGAAACUAUCAAAUAAUCUCAAAAAAUACUGUAAAAUAGGUUAAAAAUAGAUAACAAAGAAAAAAAUAAGAGAGAGAGAAAAAAAAGAUAGAGGAACUCUCACUUGGGUGUGUAAGCAUAGAGGGUAAGGUUUGCUAUUGUUUUCGCCGCCACCUCAAUCUCUACUGCCAUUGCCUAUGCUUUCUUUCGCAGCCGCAGCCACCGCCGCCGCUUUGGUCUCUAUUGCCAUCACAUUCACCGCCUCCACCACCACUAUGAUCUGGAAUAUCUAAAAAACUCUACACAAAAAAAGAGGAGAUAGUGGGUUGGGGAGGAGAAAAAAAGGAGGCUGGGAGGAGGUGAAGCGGCGGACGUUGAGAAGAUAAGAAGAUACUAAAGUUAGGAGUUAAAAAAAAAAAAAAAAUAGAUCCCAUGUCUCAUGCUAAUUAAAUGAGAAUAGGAGAAGACAUCAAAAUUAGAAGUUCAAAAAAAAAGAAGAAAAAAGUAAAUGAAUGCCACACCUUUUACCAAAUGAAGGAGGUUAUAAUUUACUAUAGAAAAUGAGUAGGUUUUUAUUUUCAUAACAUGCAUAGGAGAGAAGGGGGCUUUCGUGUGAGUUUGUAUGGUUUACGAUUAUAUUAGGGUUAGGGUAGGUGGACGUAUUAAUUAAAUGUUAUAUGUGAAGGGAAGACGAAAGGUUCAGUUUUUUGUGUGGAUUUCUAAGUUUAUGAUUUAGAUAGGGUCAAAUUGGGUGGAUACGUUAAUUAGACGUUAUGUAUGUAGGGAAGGCGAAGGGUUGGUUUCAUAAGGUGAAAGCCAAGUGAAGAAAACACAACCACGUCGUAUUUUUUUAUUUUGGGGAUUAAUAUAUAAAACACAAUCACGUGGCAUUUUUUUAUUUUGGGGAUUAAUGUAUAGGUAUAGAUAACUAAUAAGAAAUGCAUAUAAAUAGAAAAUAUUAAUGUAUAAGUAUAGAUAACUAAAAAGAAAUUCAUGCAUAUAAACAGUAA